AGUGAACGCUGGCGGUAGGCCUAACACAUGCAAGUCGAACGGCAGCACAGUAAGAGCUUGCUCUUACGGGUGGCGAGUGGCGGACGGGUGAGGAAUACAUCGGAAUCUACUUUUUCGUGGGGGAUAACGUAGGAAAACUUACGCUAAUACCGCAUACGACCUACGGGUGAAAGCAGGGGAUCUUCGGACCUUGCGCGAUUGAAUGAGCCGAUGUCGGAUUAGCUAGUUGGCGGGGUAAAGGCCCACCAAGGCGACGAUCCGUAGCUGGUCUGAGAGGACGAUCAGCCACACUGGAACUGAGACACGGUCCAGACUCCUACGGGAGGCAGCAGUGGGGAAUAUUGGACAAUGGGCGCAAGCCUGAUCCAGCCAUACCGCGUGGGUGAAGAAGGCCUUCGGGUUGUAAAGCCCUUUUGUUGGGAAAGAAAAGCAGCAGGUUAAUACCCCGCUGUUCUGACGGUACCCAAAGAAUAAGCACCGGCUAACUUCGUG
rnacentral:rRNA from 1 species